UGAUGUAUCUCCACGGUUAGCAUUAGAUUAUUGUAAACGAUUUGGCCAUGCAUAUUUGUGAAUUAGUUACCAACAAAAGAGGUUAUAAAAAAAAAAACAAAUGUAAAAUAAUACGGCAUUUCAUUAUGAAAUUAUGUAUUAUAUCUCGAUAUAUGUUUGUAAAAGUGCAUGUAUAACGAUAGAAUAUAUAGCCUUAUUAAUUUUAUACAUAUAUUGAAACGAAAGAUUUAAUCGGAUUACCUGCAAUGAAGAGGUUAACCCUCCAUAACGUCAUAUAAAUUUGAAGUCGCACACUAAAGUAUAGUGACAAGCAAUAGCGUAGAAUUUUUCUAACUUUAUCCCUGAUAUAAAAAAGCAUCGGAAAAAAAUGAGAAAGAAUGAAAGAUGUUGCUGAUCAGGAUGUGUUUUGAGAAAAUGAGAAGGUUAUACGAAAAACGCUUAUUUCAACAAAUAUUGCUUGAAAACAAUGAAAACUUCUAUAGGAAAAUCUCCCAAAAGGAUAAAAAAAAUUUGACCUUCAUGACAAAGAAAUAACAGAAGAAAGAUCUAAAAAGAAACACUGCGAGAGAAAGAAAAUUUUCAAUAUUCAUGAAUUCGUGAAUCGUAUCUCAUAUUGAAAUUAUGAAAAAACACAGUUUAGAAGGAGAUACUACUGAUUCUUACAUCUAUCAAUCAAUCUAAAUGAUUAGAUCACUAUACUUUAGUACCAUGUUUGGAAUUAUCUUUUUAUGAUGUAUUGAUGAAGGAAGUUAAUUAUUAUAAAUUGGAGCACUAUGAACAAAAAGAAGGGAGACUUUACAGAAGAUCGCCAACAACACAGGGACUUUGAUUCUAGGAGUUUAUCUGGAACAGACACAAGGACAAAAAGGCUUGUCGAAACUAUUUGAAAUCCUCAUCUCAGGAAGAAUGUGGCUUUAGCCAUCUCUGAGUACCGAAUAUUAAAUUAAGUAUUGUAUAAGCUGCUGAAAAACAUAUCAGUCAAUGAUUCCAUUGUUAGAAACGAAAAGAAACAUCGAAUAUCCGAUUUUAAGAAAUUCUCAAAGACAAAAAAAUCAGCACGUGAUAAGAGGAUGAAUCCGUAAUACAUACGGAUAAAGGAUGAUAUUUUGCAAUACUAUAAUUACAAAUAAACUGGUAAUUUCAGGAAUCAGGAUCCACAAGGUAGAAGAAAUUAUCAAAAAACAAACAGUGAUGCAGAUAUAAUAAGAAAUGCGAUUCCAUAGAAUAUAGGCAAGUACAGAAAGGGGAAAGGAGUAGAAAAAAGCGAAGAGUAUGGCUAAAUAAGAGCGCACAAUUUUUUAAAAAUGUUAUUUUCUUUGCAAAAAUCGUGUCUGCAAAUAAAUAAUUUCCAAGAGCAAUUUUCACACAAGUAAAAGCUUGUUGCAAAAAUCCUUAUCUCGUGUAGAAAAUUGAUUUUUCUUCUAACUUGUAUAUAUUUUAUAAGAAAUAGAAAUAUUAAGUGGGAAAUUGAGAAACAAUCGACAUUAACAAUCAUUCAAUUUUCCACCGAGUUUCUGUUCGAAGUUAUGGUUUAAUUGUAUACAUAUAAUAAUCCAUCCUUUUUUAAACAGAUCGGGUAAAACAGAUCAUUGCAUGAGGUUACCGUAACAAAACAGGUGUGUGUUAUUGAUUAUAAUGUUAACAUGGCCGUUGAUAAAACUGACAUAGGUUUAAAAUCAAUCGAAUAUAUUAGAGUACAAAAAAGUAUCAAAAGUAUAUCUUCCACGUGCUAGAUAUGGCCGUUAGGAACUCGAACUAUUUGUAUCAAAUUUCAACUGGAAAGAAAUUGGCAUUUGUAAAUUAUUAAUAAUAAUAAAUUAUUAAUAAUAAAAUUUUAUUACUGAUAAUGCAUAUUUAUUACCUUUUUAUACAAAUGUUGUUCUGCAUUGCAGAUAGAUAGUUUGUAUAGAAAAAAGAUGUGCAAAAAUUACACGUGAGCAAAAACGUUACAAGAAUAUAUUAAAAGAAAAGUUAAUAUCUUCAUUUAGUGUAAAAAAUUCCAUAUAUUUGUGGAGUAAAAUAACUAAAAUUUUAACUGUAAUGAAUGCCACUACAAAAGAUUGGAAAGGUUUAUGUAAGAAAGAUUACAUUUCUACAAAUUUUUCAGAUCAGAAAAUUGAACUUUUUCUAUGAAUUUUCAUAAAUUUUCUUUCCAAUUCUGAAUUAAAAAGUAAACGUAAAGAACACUAUUAUUAAAAAUCUAUUAAAAAUUGAAAUUUUAAACCACAACUUCAGUCAACAAUCUAAGAAUAAUCUACAUAAGUUCAUAUUUUAUUCCAACCACAAAUCACAUAUUACAAGAACUUAGGCUUUCCCUUAAAUUGUAAGAAUUCCAGGCGAGUUAAAUGUUAUCUGAAACCUGUUUAAAGACUAUCCAUUUAAUAUAAUAUAGAAUUGUUCCGAUUUACUCCACUGCACAAGAGAAAAAUCUAAUAUUGAAUUUACAAUUAAUAAUAAUUGAUUAUUUUUAAGACAGUAAAUACUACAAUGCAUGAAAAUCUAAUUCUGUUUUUCUUCAACUGUUAUUAAUAUUUCAACGUAAUAAAAACAUAUUUAUAAGAUCUAACUAAAGUACUGUUACGAAUAUGUAAUAAAGUAUUGAACUUCUUUACAAUAACUCUAACUUUGAUUUUACUCUAGUUACAAAAGAUUAAGAAAACAAUUUCGUACAAAAACUGUAUUUGUAAAAAAACUGAACAUUAUUUGCAAAACGGAGAAUAUGAUUUCCAGAAAAUAGAAAAUCGAUUGAAUUUUCAAUGCUUCUACUUCUUACAAUCAUAACAGAUACGAUUAUAAUUCUAAGCAGGACGGAACUGAUGGAACUAAUAUUAUAUUUACAGUUGUCAAUUAAUUUGUACAAAUUAGAUUAGAAUAGUUAUAAUAAUUAUGAUAGUAAUAAUAAAAGAGUAAAUAGAAUUUCAAUUUUAUCUGUUAAUGAAUGUUUUCAUUCCUGGCAUGAUUUCCUCUCAAGCAUUAUAAAAAAAACAUAUUCUGAAAAAGCAAUCUAUGGCAACAAUAUCAAGAAGACGAAUUGAUAAUGAUUAUGUUCGUCAAUAAUUUAUUGAAAAAGAUUACAACCAGUAACUUAUAUCUUUUUUGGACCUUUCGUCAUAAUGAGUACUAAAGAGACUUAAAUUUGUUCACUCACUACUUAAGAAAUUCUACAACAGCUCUUAAACACUCGCCCACGAUGUAGGUCGACAAUGAAUGACGCUAAUUCAUCCGUAGUAGAUAGAUCUCAAAUGAGAUAAAUUCACAUCGAAGUACGAUGAAAAUGAAAUUGGUUAAAAUUGUAAUAGAUUCGCUUG